rnacentral:rRNA from 1 species
GAUGAACGCUGGCGGCGUGCCUAAUACAUGCAAGUCGAGCGAACGGACGAGAAGCUUGCUUCUCUGAUGUUAGCGGCGGACGGGUGAGUAACACGUGGAUAACCUACCUAUAAGACUGGGAUAACUUCGGGAAACCGGAGCUAAUACCGGAUAAUAUUUUUAACCGCAAGGUUCAAGAGUGAAAGACGCUCUUGCUUUGACUUAUAGAUAGAUCCGCGCUGCAUUAGCUAUUUGGUAAGGUAACGCCUUACAAAGGCAACGAUCCAUAGCCGACCUGAGAGGGUGACCGCCCACACUGGAACUGAGACCCGCUCCAGCCUCUUACGGAAGGCAGCGUUAGGGAAUCUUGCGCAUAGGGCGAAAGCCUGCCGGAGCAACGCCGCGUGAGUGAUGAAGGUCUUCGGAUCGUAAAACUCUGUUAUUAGGAAAGAACAUAUGUGUAAGUAACUGUGCACAUCUUGACGGUACCUAAUCAGAAAGCCACGGCUAACUACGUG